GACGGAGGAUGCAAGCGUUAUCCGGAAUGAUUGGGCGUAAAGCGUCCGCAGGUGGCAGUUCAAGUCUGCUGUCAAAGACCGGGGCUUAACUUCGGAAAGGCAGUGGAAACUGAACAGCUAGAGUAUGGUAGGGGCAGAGGGAAUUCCUGGUGUAGCGGUGAAAUGCGUAGAGAUCAGGAAGAACAUCGGUGGCGAAGGCGCUCUGCUGGACCAUAACUGACACUCAGGGACGAAAGCUAGGGGGGCAAACAGG
rnacentral:rRNA from 1 species